CAAAGGUCAUUCUUUUGGACCGAUAGCACUACUGUUCUCAAGUACAUCUUUAAUGAAACAAAGCGCUUUCACACAUAUGUUGCCAAUCGUGUCAGCACCAUAAGAGAAUCCACAGACAAAGAUCAGUGGAGAUGGCCGAAACUCGACUUGGACGCCUCUUCCAUUCCAUCGGAUGAUGCAGAGGUGAAAAGGGAACUUAAGAUAUGGAGAAUCCGAAGAUGUGAAGAUUCCAGUUUAAUGCUUAAGCUACAAUUAGAAAAUAGCUCCUUUGUGUUAAAGCUAAGGUUAAUUGUGGGUAAAGUACCGUUACAAUUAGGGGC
ensembl:lncRNA